rnacentral:rRNA from 1 species
AUUGAACGCUGGCGGAAUGCUUUACACAUGCAAGUCGAGCGGCAGCGCGGCCUUCGGGCUGGCGGCGAGCGGCGAACGGGUGAGUAAUGCAUCGGAACAUGCCCAGUCGUGGGGGAUAACACUUCGAAAGAAGUGCUAAUACCGCAUACGUCCUGAGGGGGAAAGCGGGGGAUCGCAAGACCUCGCGCGAUUGGAGUGGCCGAUGUCAGAUUAGCUAGUUGGUGGGGUAAAGGCCUACCAAGGCGACGAUCUGUAGCUGGUCUGAGAGGAUGAUCAGCCACACUGGGACUGAGACACGGCCCAGACUCCUACGGGAGGCAGCAGUGGGGAAUUUUGGACAAUGGGGGCAACCCUGAUCCAACCAUUCCGCGUGAGUGAAGAAGGCCUUCGGGUUGUAAAGCUCUUUCGGCAGGAACGAAACGGUGGGCUCUAACAUAGUCCGCUAAUGACGGUACCUGAAGAAGAAGCACCGGCGAACUACGU